rnacentral:rRNA from 1 species
AACGAACGCUGGCGGCAGGCUUAACACAUGCAAGUCGAACGCAUGUAGCAAUACACGAGUGGCGCACGGGUGAGUAACGCGUGGAUAUCUGCCUUUUGGUUCGGAAUAACCCCGGGAAACUGGGGCUAAUGCCGGAUGGUUCCUUCGGGAUAAAGAUUUAUCGCCAAAAGAUGAGUCCGCGUCCGAUUAGCUAGUUGGUGAGGUAAUGGCUCACCAAGGCGACGAUCGGUAGCUGGUCUGAGAGGACGAUCAGCCACACUGGGACUGAGACACGGCCCAGACUCCUACGGGAGGCAGCAGUGGGGAAUAUUGGACAAUGGGGGCAACCCUGAUCCAGCCAUGCCGCGUGAGUGAUGAAGGCCUUCGGGUUGUAAAGCUCUUUUGGCGGGGACGAUGAUGACGGUACCCGCAGAAUAAGCCCCGGCCAACUUCGUGCCAGCCGCCGCCGUAA